UUUCAAGGACCAGAGCCUCCUAGAGAAGAAGGAGAGGAAUUAGAGAUAAGUUGUAUUUUCAUUGAUUUGUAGGUAAUUACAUGGCUAUAUUUAUAGAGUAAAUUUCCUAACAGAAUUGUGAUUCUGUUGCUAGGAAAGAUUAGAAGCAAAAACGAAAAGAUCACAGGCAAAACGAUUUUGGUAUUGCUGUCCCCUGAUUCCAGACAACAAUCAUCUGCAAAUUUUCCCUUGAACCAGCUCAGCAAGAUCCUCACACGUAGUCCUACAGAUUAGAAGCAAAAACGAAAAGAUCACAGGCAAAACGGUUUUGGUAUUGUUGUCCCCUGAUUCCAGACAACAAUCAUCUGUAGAUUUUCUCUUGAGUCAGCUCAGCAAGAUCCUCACACGUAGUCCUGCAGGUAUGAGGGCUUUGUGAUCGUUCUUUUUGCUCUGUUUUCUAGUUGCACCCCACUGUUAAUGUCUUUACUAGGCUCAUUGCUAGUUGCUUGUUGCACCCCUGUUUCCCUAUCACUAGUUCAGAUCAAUGCGCUACAACUUAAUUAGAUAAUUCAAAUCUGAAACGAUAAAGGGAUAUCAUGCGUAAUGUUUGAAAAGCACGGGUGCAUUUGUAAUAUGUAUAAAAUACAGGGGGUGUCAUGUAAUUGUGUAAUUGAGGGUAAUUUUGGAGUUCAAGUUUUAAAA